rnacentral:lncRNA from 1 species
AAGAAUAACAAGAAUAAGCAAAAUCUGGUAACUUUGUAGACUUACGAAUGCGUAUGGAUUGACAUAGAGACGGAUCCACAAUCUCAGAUGGAACUUGACGGACCGUAGGAGAAGAGGACGCUUCAGGUGUGUCGGAGAGUAAAUUGUCAGUACCUGCGAAAUGAUUAGUACAAAUUGGUUGUAAAGACAACGGGGUAGGAACAUGAGAAUGAACAUUUGAACUAGUAGGCUCCUGAGAAGACAAAUUAUCAGGAUUGUCAGAAAAAGGAUCUAUACGAAUAAAAUCAGAUCUAGUCAGACUAUAAGUAGUGGAUGGAAUAGAAAAGAAAGGCAUAUGCUCGAGAAAAACAACAUGACGAGACACGUAAAGUUUCUGAGUUAUUGGAUUAAAAAAAUGAUACCCUUUUUUACCUUCACCAUAACCAAAAAAGACACAAAUAGCAGAUCGAGAUGACAACUUGCUGCGUUCGACAUGAGGACGAAGAACGAAACAAGUACAACCAAAAACUCUAAAGAGAGAAUAAUCGGGGUAUACCCAUACAACUUUUCGAAAGGAGAAAAACCUAAAAUAUGAGAAGAUGGAUUUGUAUUAAUCAAACCUACAGCAGUAAGAACAGUUUCAUCCCAAAACACACUAGGGACAGAUGCAGACAACAAGAGAGAAAGAGCAGUUUCAACAACGUGCCUAUGUUUUCUUUCAGCAACACCAUUUUGCUCAAUAGUAUCUGUACACGAAGUUUAGUGAAUAGUUCCAUCUAAAGCAAGCAGCUCACAAAAUUUAUUAGAAGUGUAUUCCCCACCCACAUCACACAUAAAACAUUUGAUAACAGCAGAAUGCUGAGUUUUAACAAGAGCACGAAAUGCUAAGUAUAUCUCAAAAAAUUCAGAACGAUGUUUCAUUAAAUAAACCCAAUAAUAACGAGUGUGAUCAUCAAUAAAGGAAACAUAAUAUCGAGACCCUCCUUUUGUGGCAAUAGGAGAAGGCCCCCAUAUAUCAGAAUGAAUCAAAUCAAAUGGAGAAGAAGAAACAGAAAUACUUCGAUUAAAAGGUAAAGCUGAAAAUUUUGUCAGUUUGCAUCCACUACAAUCAAAAAUAUCACAAGGGUGUAAAUUUCCUAAAGCCCCUCUAGAAGCUAAAAAUCUCAAACGAGACGACGAAACAUGACCUAGACGAGAAUGCCAUAAAUAAAAAUUAGAAAAAGAAGGACUCAAACGAAAGAAGACAAAUCAACACUAGUAGCGGCAGCAGCAAUUGGCACUUUUAGUUCAUCCAAAAUAUAUAGUCCACUCUUCCUACGGCCUGUCCCAAUUAGUUUCUGAGAUUGCAGAUCCUGCAUAUAACAAGAAGAAGAGGAAAAUGUGACUAAAUUACCAGAAUCACAUAACUGACCAACAGAAUCAAGAUUUAAUGUGAGUUUCGGAAUAUGAUAAAUAUUAGGGAGGGACAAGUGAGGUGUGACAACAAAAUCAACACCUGCUAAUGGCAUAGGAGUGCCAUCAGCAGUCAUGACAGCAAUAGAGGACGAAGGGGACACGGAAGCAAAAGACGAAGAAUCUAGAGACAUAUAAUGUGAAGCACCAGAAUCCAAGACCCAUACAGAAUGUGACAUACCUGAAGAACUAUGAGGCAACUGACCUAUGGAAGAAGCAGAUAUAGCUUGAGGCUGUAAGGAGAGAAACUUCUGAAAUUGCUCAGCUAAAGUACUAGGAUCAGUAAAAUGACCUGAUGAAGCUACUGCUGCAGUAUUAGAUUGUGAUGGUCUAUGAGCAUUAGAUCGUGAUUGGUUGCCAGGCUUCCAAGCUUGAGAUUGCUGCUGUAAUUGAUUCGACUGUCUCAACUUAGGACACUGAGCCUUCUAAUGACCUUUAUGCUUACAGAAACUGCACUCGUCAAAGGCAACCCUUGUGUAAGACUUAUUUUGAUUAUUAGAGGAUGACUUAGAAGACACUGCUAAUACAGAAGGAUUAGAAGCAGAAAGAAUUCCAUUUUCAGUAUAAGACUUAUGACGUAUUUCUUUAGCCAAUCACUCACCGACAACUGAAUCAACAGAAGGAAGUGAACAACGAUGCGAAAUUGAACCUCUGAAUCCUUCAAAAUCACUACGAAGUGCCGUUAAAAAUUGUACCAACCGUUGCUGCUUUCUACGAGUAAUAUAGGCAGCACAUGCCUUUAAUUCUGUCGAUUCUGUAAGGGCCAAUUGAUCCCAAAGAUCUGUCGUAGUAGAAUAAAACUCCUGAAUACUCAUAUUAUUCUGAUGAAGAGCUCGUAUAUCAUUCUCCAAUUGAUACUGCUUUGCAAAAUUUGACUGAGUGAAUAAUCUUUGCAGAUGAUCCCAAACCUCCUUUGCCGUCUCAUACUUUACCAACUCUCUACCUAUGGAAUGCUCCACAGAGUUGUUAAUCCAAGUAAUAAUUUUUGAAUUGUUUGAUUCCCAGACAUCUAUCAAAGCAGCAUAACCUUCAUUGGUAUUCUCAGAUUUCACAAAAGUUCCACUGAUGAAUCCUUACAUCUUUUUACCCUUAAGAAAAUUUCUUAUCACGUAACUCCAAUAUGAAUAAUUCUUUCCAUCCAACCUCACACUCACAGACUGAAGCGAAUCGUCUCUUUCAGUAGCCAUAAUAAAAAAAUAAUAGAUUGAAGAAAUACCAGAUUGCAGAUUUAACAGAUUUGUCCUAUGAAAUCUAGCUUUGAUAUCAUGUUAAACAACCCAAAGAAAAAAAAGAAGGAGACUAGAGUUUUAUUGAUACUACGUAAUUAAUUGAAUGCUAAAAAGAUGGUUUAACCUAAAUACAAAGAGAAUAUAUAUAGGCUAAACAAAUGAAACUAAAAAGGACUAUUGUACCCUUAAUAAAUAAUAAAUAAUCAUAUAUUUCUUAACAUAUUUUAGACGCCAACAGAGGCAUGAGGUCAUCGAAGUGAUACAGUUUGAGGCGUUUUCAUGUUUCGAGGCGUUGCUUUCGAAGUGUGAGAUGACCAAAGCACCUCUUCGCCAUGAGUUUCACAAAUGGAUCUUUUGGUCAAAAUUGUCUCUGUGUCUUUAAGAAUGAUUGAUGUGAUAUCUCUAUCAUAUGUUAAUUCAAAAUGAGAAGAAUUAAUUGUCCGCCCAUCUAGGAAGCGACUGAUGAACUCCUACAAGCUCGCACCGUGGGAUAAUUAAACGUCUCGCAUCUAGUGGUGCUUUCGCCUAUAAAUACCAAGAACUUAACCAAGAAUAAGAGAUGUAUGACAUACGUGUUAUUCCACAGCCAAGAUAUUAUAUUUUCUCCUUCCAAGAGUUUGUGCAUUCCGGCACCGUCACUACCAUCGUCAACUAACUUGAUCGUCGGAGUGUAUGUGGCCAUCAUCUCUACAGCUGGUACUGGCCAUAUACGUCUGAUCGUUUGUUGUUGCACGCAAGAAAGAACACGUGGAGGGUCCAAUUCGCAUGGUCAACAGAUUUGAUUUUUGGUUUUCAUUCCGGUGGUCGACGAUUAGUAGGGCUAGUAAUUUUCCAGUUUCGAUUUAUUUGGGGUGGAAUGGUGAGUAUGGUAGUAUGGUGGAAGAAGAUAAUGAGUUUUAUUUUCUUUCAGUUUGAGUUUUUUUUUAAUUAAAUUAUUUAAUGCGAAGGUAUUUAAAACUUUCGAUAAAACUAAGGUCUUAUGAGUGUUCACAAUUCAAAGUUUACACGUCUACCACACGGAAAUAUGAAUUAUUUUAUAAUCAAUUUAUUAUUUAUCACGAGUAAAGAAAAG